rnacentral:rRNA from 1 species
UACAGAGGGUGCUAGCGUUGUUCGGAAUUAUUGGGCGUAAAGCGCGUGUAGGCGGUCUCGCAAGUUGGGUGUGAAAGCCCUCGGCUUAACCGAGGAAGUGCGCCCAAAACUACGAGACUUGAGUAUCGGAGAGGGUGGCGGAAUUCCCGGUGUAGAGGUGAAAUUCGUAGAUAUCAGGAGGAAUACCGGCGGCGAAGGCGGCCCUCUGGAUCGUUGCUGACGCUGAGACGCGAAAGCGUGGGGAGCAAACAGG